rnacentral:rRNA from 1 species
AGACUCUGUGCGCGUGCAUAUCAAUAAGCGGAGGAAAAGAAACUAACAAGGAUUCCCUUAGUAACGGCGAGUGAAGCGGGAAGAGCUCAAAUUUGAAAUCUUCAAGGUUCUACCUUGACGAAUUGUAGUUUAUAGAAGUGUUUUCUGUUAGUAGAGUGGCAAAAGUUCUUUGGAAUAGGACAUCAUAGAGGGUGAGAAUCCCGUAUUUGGUCAUUCUUUCUAGCUUUGUGAUACACUUUCAACGAGUCGGAUUGUUUGGGAAUGCAGUCCAAAAUGGGUGGUAAAUUUCAUCUAAAGCUAAAUAUUGGCGAGAGACCGAUAGCGAACAAGUACCGUGAGGGAAAGAUGAAAAGAACUUUGAAAAGAGAGUUAAACAGUACGUGAAAUUGUCAAAAGGGAAGCGUUUGACACCAGUGUUGUUUUUCCGAAAAUCAAUUACGAAUGUUUUAUUUUUGAGAAGUUAUGACUUCAUCGGCUUGCUUCUCUCUUUAUGAAACUUUCUUAAUGCACUUUUCGGUUAACAAGUCAACAUCAAUUUCUUUUGUUGUAAAAGGGUAUGAGGAAGGUGGCUUUCUUUUCGGAGAAAGUGUUUAUAGCCUUGUACCUCUGCAAUCGGAGAGAUCGAGGUCUGCAGCGUAGAUCCUUCGGGGUUAGAUACAUUUGUGCUAAGCUAUAGUUCUUUCAUAGACAACUUGUUGACUAUAGUCUAGUCCUGUAGCUUACUCGCUUAUGCUAUUUUACCUACGCUUAGGAUGUUGAAGAUGUAGCACAUCAU